rnacentral:rRNA from 1 species
UACGUAGGGGGCAAGCGUUGCCCGGAAUCAUUGGGCGUAAAGCGCGUGUAGGCGGCCCGAUAAGUCCGCUGUGAAAGUCCAGGGCUCAACCCUGGAAUGCCGGUGGAUACUGUCGGGCUCGAGUCCGGAAGAGGCGAGUGGAAUUCCUGGUGUAGCGGUGAAAUGCGCAGAUAUCAGGAGGAACACCAAUGGCGAAGGCAGCUCGCUGGGACGGUACUGACGCUGAGACGCGAAAGCGUGGGGAGCAAACAGG